AGCAGUCGCCGCGGUAAUACGAAGGGUGCAAGCGUUACUCGGAAUUACUGGGCGUAAAGCGUGCGUAGGUGGUGGUUUAAGUCCGUUGUGAAAGCCCUGGGCUCAACCUGGGAAUGGCAGUGGAUACUGGCAAGCUAGAGUGUGUCAGAGGAUGGUGGAAUUCCCGGUGUAGCGGUGAAGUGCGUAGAGAUCGGGAGGAACAUCAGUGGCGAAGGCGGCCAUCUGGGACAACACUGACGCUGAGGCACGAAAGCGUGGGGAGCAAACAGGAUUAGAUACCCCUGUAGUCCCUGUCUCUUAUAC
rnacentral:rRNA from 1 species